UACGUAGGGUCCGAGCGUUGUCCGGAAUUACUGGGCGUAAAGAGCUCGUAGGUGGUUUGUCGCGUUGUUCGUGAAAACUCACAGCUUAACUGUGGGCGUGCGGGCGAUACGGGCAGACUGGAGUACUGCAGGGGAGACUGGAAUUCCUGGUGUAGCGGUGGAAUGCGCAGAUAUCAGGAGGAACACCGGUGGCGAAGGCGGGUCUCUGGGCAGUAACUGACGCUGAGGAGCGAAAGCGUGGGGGAGCGAACAGG
rnacentral:rRNA from 1 species